UAAUACGGAGGGCGCGAGCGUUAUUCGGAAUCAUUGGGCGUAAAGCGCGUGUAGGCGGCUGGGCAAGUCGGAUGUGAAAGCCCGGGGCUCAACCCCGGAAUUGCAUUCGAAACUGCUCAGCUAGAGUCUCGGAGAGGAGGGCGGAAUUCCCGGUGUAGAGGUGAAAUUCGUAGAUAUCGGGAGGAACACCAGUGGCGAAGGCGGCCCUCUGGACGAUGACUGACGCUGAGACGCGAAAGCGUGGGGAGCAAACAGGAUUAGAUACCCUGGUAGUCCACGCCGUAAGCUAUGAUCACUCGCUGUUGGCCGGUAUAGGUCAGUGGCCAAGCGAAAGCGUUAAGUGAUCCACCUGGGGAGUACGAUCGCAAGACUG
rnacentral:rRNA from 1 species